UACGGAGGGUCCGAGCGUUGUCCGGAAUUAUUGGGCGUAAAGAGCUCGUAGGCGGUUUGUCGCGUCUGCCGUGAAAGUCCGGGGCUCAACUCCGGAUCUGCGGUGGGUACGGGCAGACUAGAGUGAUGUAGGGGAGACUGGAAUUCCUGGUGUAGCGGUGAAAUGCGCAGAUAUCAGGAGGAACACCGAUGGCGAAGGCAGGUCUCUGGGCAUUAACUGGCGCUGAGGAGCGAAAGCAUGGGGAGCGAACAGG
rnacentral:rRNA from 1 species